GUCGAGAAUCUUUCACAAUGGGGGCAACCCUGAUGGAGCGACGCCGCGUGGAGGAUAAGGUCUUCGGAUUGUAAACUCCUGUCAUGCGUGAACAAGGUUGCUUGGUUAAUACCUGGGCAAAUUGAUGGUAACGCAAGAGGAAGAGACGGCUAACUCUGUGCCAGCAGCCGCGGUAAUACAGAGGUCUCAAGCGUUGUUCGGAAUCACUGGGCGUAAAGGGUGCGUAGGUGGCGUGGUAAGUCAGAUGUGAAAGCCCGGGGCUCAACCUCGGAACUGCAUCCGAUACUGCCAUGCUAGAGUACUGGAGAGGUGACUAGAACUCUCGGUGUAGCAGUGAAAUGCGUAGAUAUCGAGAGGAAUACCAAAGGCGUAGGCAGGUCACUGGACAGUUACUGACACUGAGGCACGAAGGCCAGGGGAGCGAACGGGAUUAGAUACCCCAGUAGUCC
rnacentral:rRNA from 1 species